CCUACGGGAGGCAGCAGUGGGGAAUAUUGCACAAUGGGGGAAACCCUGAUGCAGCGACGCCGCGUGAGUGAAGAAGUAUCUCGGUACGUAAAGCUCUUUCAGUCGGGAAGAAAAUGACGGUACCUGACUAAGAAGCCCCGGCGAACUACGUGCAAGCACCCGCGGGAAGACGGAGGGGGCAAGCGUUAUCCGGAUUUACCGGGUGUAAAGGGAGCGUAGACGGCAGCACAAGUCUGGAGUGAAAUCCCGGGGGUUAACCCCGGAACUGCGUUGGAAACUGUGCGGCUGGAGUGCAGGAGGGGUAAGCGGAAUUCCUGGUGUAGCGGUGAAAUGCGUAGAUAUUAGGAGGAACACCGGUGGCGAAGGCGGCUUACUGGACUGUAACUGACGUUGAGGCUCGAAAGCGUGGGGAGCAAACAGGAUUAGAUACCCCAGUAGUC
rnacentral:rRNA from 1 species